CCUACGGGGGGCAGCAGUGAGGAAUAUUGGUCAAUGGUCGGGAGACUGAACCAGCCAAGCCGCGUGAGGGAUGAAGGUACAGAGUAUCGUAAACCUCUUUUGUCAGGGAACAAAGGCGGGGACGUGUCCCCGGAUGAGUGUACCUGAAGAAAAAGCAUCGGCUAACUCCGUGCCAGCAGCCGCGGUAAUACGGAGGAUGCGAGCGUUAUCCGGAUUUAUUGGGUUUAAAGGGUGCGCAGGCGGUCUGUUAAGUCAGCGGUAAAAGCGCGGGGCUCAACCCCGGCCCGCCGUUGAAACUGGCAGUCUCGAGUUGGCGAGAAGUAUGCGGAAUGCGCGGUGUAGCGGUGAAAUGCAUAGAUAUCGCGCAGAACUCCGAUUGCGAAGGCAGCAUGCCGGCUCCACACUGACGCUGAGGCACGAAAGCGUGGGUAUCGAACAGGAUUAGAUACCCUUGUAGUC
rnacentral:rRNA from 1 species